AUACAGAGGGUGCAAGCGUUAAUCGGAAUUACUGGGCGUAAAGCGUGCGUAGACGGUUACAUAAGUCGGGUGUGAAAGCCCCGGGCUCAACCUGGGAAUUGCAUUCGAGACUGCGUAGCUAGGGUGCGGAAGAGGGAAGCGGAAUUUCCGGUGUAGCGGUGAAAUGCGUAGAUAUCGGAAGGAACACCAGUGGCGAAAGCGGCUUCCUGGUCCAGCACCGACGUUCAGGCACGAAAGCGUGGGGAGCAAACAGGAUUAGAUACCCUGGUAGUCCACGCCAUAAACGAUGAGAACUAGACGUUGAAGGGGUAAGCCCUCCAGUGUCGUAGCUAACGCGCUAAGUUCUCCGCCUGGGGAGUACGGCCGCAAGGUUGAA
rnacentral:rRNA from 1 species